rnacentral:rRNA from 1 species
GACAGAGGUGUCAAGCGUUGCUCGGAAUUACUGGGCGUAAAGCGCGUUCAGGUGGUUUAUUAAGUCAUGCGUGAAAGCUCUUGGCCUAACCAAGAAAUCGCGUGUGAUACUGAUGAACUAGAGGGUGGGAGAGGAAAGCGGAAUUCCUGGUGUAGCGGUGAAAUGCGUAGAUAUCAGGAGGAACACCUGUGGCGAAGGCGGCUUUCUGGUCCACUUCUGACACUUUCACGCGAAAGCUAGGGGAGCAAACGGG